ACAAUGAAGAGUUUGAUCCUGGCUCAGGAUGAACGCUAGCGGCAGGCUUAACACAUGCAAGUCGAGGGGUAACAGUCUUGAGCAAUCGAGAGCUGACGACCGGCGCACGGGUGAGUAACGCGUAUGCAACCUACCUUUAACUCGGAGAUAGCUCAGAGAAAUCUGAAUUAAUAUCCCAUAAUAGAAUAAUUGGCAUCUUUUAUUCUCAAAGUUCCGACGGUUAGAGAUGGGCAUGCGUGACAUUAGCUAGAUGGUGAGGUAACGGCUCACCAUGGCUACGAUGUCUAGGGGGCCUGAAAGGGUGAUCCCCCACACUGGUACUGAGACACGGACCAGACUCCUACGGGAGGCAGCAGUGAGGAAUAUUGGUCAAUGGGCGCAAGCCUGAACCAGCCAUGCCGCGUGCAGGAUGACAGCCCUACGGGUUGUAAACUGCUUUUAUACGGGAAGAAACCCUCGCUCGUGAGCGAGGCUGACGGUACCGUAAGAAUAAGCAUCGGCUAACUCCGUGCCAGCAGCCGCGGUAAUACGGAGGAUGCAAGCGUUAUCCGGAUUUACUAGGUUUAAAGGGUGCGCAGGCGGAAUGAUAAGUCAGUGGUGAAAGCUCCUCGCUCAACGGGGAAAUUGCCAUUGAAACUGUCAUUCUUGAGUGUAGUUGAGGUGGUUGGAAUGUGUUGUGUAGCGGUGAAAUGCGUAGAUAUAACACAGAACGCCAAUUGCGAAGGCAGAUCGCUAAACUACUACUGACGCUGAGGCACGAAAGCGUGGGGAGCGAACAGGAUUAGAUACUCUGGUAGUCCACGCCGUAAACUAUGAUCACUCGUUGUUGGCAAUAGAUCGUCAGUGACUAAGCGAAAGCGAUAAGUGAUCCACCUGG
rnacentral:rRNA from 1 species